ACUUUUAAUGUGUAACACUUUUACCGUAUUUUUAUUAGAAAUGUGGUCGUUUUUUUUUUGGAAAGAAAAUGUGCUAGUUCAAAAUACAUUUCUAGAUGUACAGUUUCAUCUUCCGAUUCCUGUACAAAUUGUAACUUUUUUUUAUUUUUGGGCAACCCUAUACCAAUUGUAACUAUGACAAAACUUUUGGCAUAUAUUGCAAUGCCUGAAUGUCAUGAGUUAAGCUCCGAACCUGGUCUUCCUUCUAUCCGUCCCCGUGAAAAUGAUCUAUAUAUAUUUGAAGUACAAUUGCUGCCAUAAUGACGACCUCUACAAGACUACAACUGUGAUAGUCAAUUCUUUCUGCAAAUAAUAAAUUUGUAUUCAAUGCUAGUGUUAUUUAUAUAAAGAAACCGCUGAGUUUAUUACAUUUUUAUUUAGGUGGUACGAAUAUUCAAUUUUAUUCAAGAGCAUAUUAUGUAACUAGUUUAAGAUCUCAUCCUUGUGUAGGAUAAACAUUUUGUAUACAAAUUAUUUUUACGUAUUAUUAUUUUUAUAGUGAUUUUUACGUAUUAUGAAACAAAUUAAUAUAUAUAUAUAUAAAAUAAUU
rnacentral:lncRNA from 1 species